GACCAAGGAGUCUAGCAUGUGCGCGAGUCAUUGGGACUAGAUUAAACCUAAAGGCGCAAUGAAAGUAAAGGUCCGCCUAGCGCGGACCGAGGGAGGACGGGCCCGUCUACGGACGGGCCUCGCACUCCCGGGGCGUCUCGUCCUCAUCGCGAGGAGAGGCGCACCCAGAGCGUACACGCUGGGACCCGAAAGAUGGUGAACUAUGCCUGGUCAGGACGAAGUCAGGGGAAACCCUGAUGGAGGUCCGUAGCGAUUCUGACGUGCAAAUCGAUCGUC
rnacentral:rRNA from 1 species